GCUUCCUGAAGCCUCCUCUGUCUGGUUUGCUAAUAUCAGCAAGUUUCCUUGGUGGCGGAGGAGUUGGGAACCGAAAACAAGUCACGACCCAAUUAAGUGAUCCUAGAAUCUGAAACAGCGCCAGCUGCCAUGGAACAAAGCCGUUUUCAGGGACUGGAGGGCCCCCUAAGGAAAUCAGGGCAAAGCAGAUUCCUUGCGGGAGUGUACAGAUGUUAGAUCUUAUGGAAGCAUGCGUGUACGGCACCCAGGCCAGUAUAUGAGACUAAAAAGAAGAAUGUAGGAAGAAGAGGAUACAAAAUGCAAAGGUAAAGAUAAACUAAAGUAGGAAAGGGCAAACCCCAGG
rnacentral:lncRNA from 1 species